rnacentral:rRNA from 1 species
CAACGCCGCGUGAGGGAAGAAGGUUUUCGGAUCGUAAACCUCUGUCCUUGGUGAAGAGAAAGAGACGGUAGCCAAGGAGGAAGCCCCGGCUAACUACGUGCCAGCAGCCGCGGUAAUACGUAGGGGGCGAGCGUUGUCCGGAAUGAUUGGGCGUAAAGGGCGCGUAGGCGGCCCGGUAAGUCUGGAGUGAAAGUCCUGCUUUUAAGGUGGGAAUUGCUUUGGAUACUGUCGGGCUUGAGUGCAGGAGAGGUAAGUGGAAUUCCCAGUGUAGCGGUGAAAUGCGUAAAGAUUGGGAGGAACACCAGUGGCGAAGGCGACUUACUGGACUGUAACUGACGCUGAGGCGCGAAAGUGUGGGGAGCAAACAGGAUUAAAUACCCUGGUAGUCCACACUGUAAACAAUGAAUGCUAGGUGUAGGGGGUAUCGACCCCUUCUGUGCCGCAGUUAACACAAUAAGCAUUCCGCCUGGGGAGUACGGCCGCAAGGUUGAAACUCAAAGGAAUUGACGGGGGCCCGCACAAGCAGCGGAGCAUGUGGUUUAUUUCAACGCAACGCAAAAAACCUUACCAGGUCUUGACAUCCAGUAAAACUUGUAGAGAUACAUCGUGAGCUUGCUCAUACUGAGACAGGUGGUGCAUGGUUGUCGUCAGCUCGUGUCGUGAGAUGUUGGGUUAAGUCCCGCAACGAGCGCAACCCUUAUUUUCAGUUACUAACAGGUAAAGCUGAAGACUCUGAAGAGACUGCCGGGGACAACUCGGAAGAGGGGGGGGACCACCUCAAAUCAUCGUGCCCCUUAUGACCUGGGCUACACACGUGCUACAGUGGCCACCACAGAGAGGAGCGAACCCGUAAGGGAGAGCGGAUCUCAAAAAAGUGGUCCCAUUUCAGAUUGUGGGCUGCAACCCGCCCACAUGAAUUCAGAGUUGCUAAUAAUCGCAGAUCAACGUGCCGCGGAGAAUACUUUCCCGGGCCUUGUACACCCCGCCCGUCACACCGUGAGAUUUGGGAGUGCCCAAAGUCGGUGAGGUAACC